rnacentral:misc_RNA from 1 species
GAUGAAGAACGUAGCGAAAUGCGAUACGUAGUGUGAAUUGCAGAAUUCAGUGAAUCAUCGAAUCUUUGAACGCACAUUGCACCUCUCGGUAUUCCGGGAGGUAUGCCUGUUCGAGCGUCAUUUGUACCCUCAAGCUCUGCUUGGUGUUGGGUGUUUGUUCCGCCUCUGUGUGUGAACUCGCCUCAAAACAAUUGGCAGCCGGCGUACUUGUUUCGGAGCGCAGCACAUUUUGCGAUCCAGAUCAACGUACAGCGGCAUCCAAGAAGCCUUAUUUAACGCUCUUGACCUCGGAUCAGGUAGGGAUACCCGCUGAACUUAAGCAUAUCAAUAAACGGAGGA